rnacentral:tRNA from 1 species
GGGAAAGUAGUUAAAUAAUAAUAUGAGGUUGUCAAUUUCGAGUGUGCUACAAAGUAGCCUUUUCCU